ACUAGGAGCUGUGAGAAGUUGUGCUGUUGGAGAGACUGAGCUGUACACACCAUAUCAGGCACAAGGAGGGAAGCCCGGAGAUGGAAUGACUUGUUCUGCUAUGAAUAGAAGUUAAUUAUACAAGGAAAUAUAUAUGUAGUGUGUACGCAAGUCUUUAAAACAGCUAUUCGGGUCAAGCUGCAAUGCUCACAAGACAGCUUCCCUCCAAAUACUGUUCUUCAAAGAAAAACAGAAACCAAAACAAGGAUGCCCUGGAUUGUUUAACGCACACUUCCUCUGGAUUCCUAAAUUAGAUCUUUUAUAGGUCUUAAUUUAUCCUCUUUAGAAAUUCAUGUGAUUUUGGCAAAAUAAACUGGUAUCAUUUUGGAGA